UGUAUAGGACGUGUUAGGUUUAUCUUAUGCAAAUAGUUUGAGCCCUAGGUUAAAAAGCGAUUAGCGACCCUAUUCACCCCCUCCCCCUCUAGGGUCGGACACCCCGGUGAUCCUUACAGCGGGGCCGGGGCUGGGGCCGGACCUCGCCCGAGCCUAAGCCGCGCCCACGACUUCUAGGGUUUGGCGCGUCGGGGCCUGCCGCUACUCAUCCCGCCGGCACGCGGAGUUCCGACGGCCGGAGGGAGGCGCGGCGGCGGCUGGAUCUGUGGCGCGCUGCAAGUCAGCGGCGAUCGGCUCCGCGGCGCGUGCGGCGGACGCGGCAGGGUGGAGACCAGACCGAGGGUUGGGGAUUGGGGAAUUUUGCUUUUUUUGUUUUGAUUUUCGUUUAAUCGUUUAACGGCGCCGGUGGGCUUCGAACCUCGGCGGGGAUGGCAUUGCGUCGGGGGUAGGCUUCAACGCGGCGGGAUGAUCCUUAAAACAUCUGUUGUCGGAUGGCGUUGAAGCCCGGUAAGAAGCGACGUGAGCCAUAGAUCUUCAUAGAGUAAAAAUCGUGGGUAUGUUUUUUCGGGUGCACGAAGUUGAGGCUCCUUAGUGGGGGAGGAUUCGCAAUGUGGCCAUAGAUAAAAUAAAAUUGUGCUUUAGGGGGUCGGUUAUGGUAGUGUGUUUGUGAUGUUUUCUAUCGGGCACAAUGGUUUAGUGACAAAAAGGAUGUGUUUGUCACUAAGACUAGCUGAAAUUCGUCAUAAACUGGUCUAGUGCUAUAACGCGACGAACAUUGAUUCGUCAUAAAAGCCAACUAGUAAAUGUCACAAGUUUAUGACAUUGUUGAUUCAACAUACAUAUAUUUUGCCAAAAAGAUAAAAAUAUAUGGAGGAAAGUGGCAGCCCAGUGCACACCAGCAAAAUGAAAAAAAACAAUAUUAGAGAAACUCGAACCAGCGAUGUAUUUAAUAAAACCACACACUGCAAUUAUUAGGUGAGUAAUGUCCUACUGUUCAUGUUGGAUAAUGUCUAUUACUAAACGUUGUGUAGUGAUGCCUUCAACAUUUAGUCAUUUUCUCCCUCGAGUUGGGUGGGCAUAAUUAAUCAGGACCAAUGAACCGUACCGAAAAGACCAAAAUCAAAUACAAACUGACCGAAACCUUUUUUUCAGUUAAAAUUUCGGCCUCAUGUUCCUAAUAACAGAAUUAAUCUCAGUUAAUUCCGUUUUAGGUGUCGAAGUAACCGAUCAGACUGAAUUCAUGUAAAAAGGCCCAACAACCUUCAUCGUGAGCCUCGUCAGAUCAGCCCAACACGGCCCAAACCGCUCUCCUCCUCAACCCUACUCCACCCGCCGACCCUCCCUCCAUCCCUCCACACAGCACUACCCCCUCCCUCCCGGUCCCGUAGCACCGCCACCCGCCCCUGCAGCGCUCCCACCCCCGUCCUCCUCCAGACCUCCACAGAGGAUCCAGCAGUCCCGCCCCACCUCCGCCAGGCACGGUGGCGACAGGGGCCGCCAUCUGCUGCUCGACUGACGCUGUCAUCUGCUGCUCCCCCCGCCGGCGAACCGUAGGCACAGCUGCCCUCCGGCUCUCACCCGUUCGCCCGCUGGGUGUUGGGACUUGGGACCUCGGCCGGCCCUACCCUCCUUCCUCCCAUCUCCCCCGAGCUCGGUCGGCCGGCGGCUCCUUCUGCUCGCGCCGGGUGACGGCGGCCCGCCGGGGGCUGUUGCUGCUCGACUGGAUCUGGGUGAUAGCGGCCUGGCGGCUCCUUCCUCCAUGCCGAUGCGGCGGUGCUGCCCCCUUCACGACGAUGAGAGCAUCAGUUAGCAACACUAGUCCUUCAAGUCGAUCCGCGAGCACAACUUCACAAAGAUGCUAUUUGAGUUCCAUUUGUGUUAGAUUUGUGUUCCAUCCCUGUGAUUUGUGUUCCUUUUUUGUGGAUUUAUGCUUCAUCCAUGCGAUUCGUAUUCCAUUUGUGCUUUCUAACAGUUAAAGUUCUUUCAGCAACUAAUAUAGAUGUGCCUAUACUUAUUCUGCAGCAUUGGAUGGUCUAAAAUGGUGGCUUAUUCUUUUACACUUGAUUGUGCAAUUCUUUUAGCCAUAUUAUAAGACUUCUAUAAAGUGGAAUUGAUUUAGUUUAUAUCUGAUUGUGGAAUUGAUUGUGUAGUUUCUUAACGCAAUCUAGAAUGUGUUAAUGUCCUGUCCAUGCAUGUUAAAUCAAUUAUGCAUGCUGUCUUUGAUUUUUUUUGUUAAGAAAUCAUUUUAGCUUAUAUCUUUCAUACCAUUUAUGCAUGUUAAAUCAGUAGGCUUUCAUACCAUUUGUAAGAGCGAUAGUUCUGCUAAAUGAAAUUUGAAUCGGUUUCUUCAUUUGUCUAUGAGAAAUGUGAUCUUUGAUUAUUCCUUGAGAACUAGAAGCAGAAUUAUGGCUUGAGCAGAAGUGGCUCUUCGUCCUUGAGCAGCGAAGGCCGCCUCCAAUCCUCCAUCAUUUGAAGCGAACCACCAGUGGAAUCAGAGAGGCAGGGUUCAGCAGCACUUUGAGAGAAAAUGGAUGACCAGCAAAGUGAGCUAGAAGACUUGAAGCUAAAGUUCCAGGAAUAUACAUUUUGGUUGUGAGUUCAGAGAGUUGUUUUGCUGUUCAGUGAACAUAUUAUGGAGUGACUUGUGUUUUUUGUUUUUGGGCUGUUUAUCGAGUGACUUGACAAGUGAUGUUGGGUUGUGAUAUGCAUAUGAAUCUAUUGGUUUUUGGACAAGUGAUGUCGGGCUGUAAUAAAUAUUCUGUAAAGUUACAUGUUUUAAAUGAAUAUGAUGUUUUGAAGUGAUCUCAGACUAAA